GUUAAAAUAGUCCUCCAGUAUCUAUGAUAUUCUUGUACCUAUAUCACUUAGCCUUUGAUAUAUAUUUUCAUCUACAAGACAAAAGUCCUCCAAUUGCCUAACAACCUACUUAUUUUGAAGUAUCCUUCAUGUCUAUAGCACAUGCAGAAGAUUUAGGGUUAGGGGUUUAUUCAUAAACAAUCAAGAUUACAAAGUCUCCAUAAAUAAGCAUUCCUCCCAAUGAAGGCCACAGAUUAUGUGUCAAAACACAUUCUUUUCCUGUAUAUUUUAUAUCAAGCAAAAGCAGAUGGUUGCUGGUGGGAGACAGUAGCUUAAGCUGAAAUCCUCUUAGACCUUAUGGAAAAACAGUAGCCGAAUGUCUUCAAAAUCACACGUGCUAAACCUGACCCCAGUGUGUGGAAGACAUUCGAAACUAUGCAAUAUCAUUUAUCAUGUAGUUAAUUCUCUCAUGUGGUUACCAUGACCAUGAUAAUGAAUCUCAUGCACAUUUUGUGGAGAAUUCCAUUCAGUGAACAGUGUGACAGUCUAUUGUUCAAGCACAUGACGCAGAGGUCCUCUUCUGACCUUCUGCUGUCUGUGUUUGUGUGUUAGCGCGCAGCAAUUCAGUGGAUUAGUAAGGGAAUUGGUCUGUGUGUGACCCUCAUCAGCACGAGCUUUUGAUUCGAGAACAGCUUGGACCGACUAGCUGAGCCAGGAAUAGUUCGGACUGCUUUUGGGAACCGCUUCAAGUGAUUCAUCGAGAAGAUUCACCUUAAAAGAACCAUUCUUUCACAUUGCGGGAAUUUCUACAGAUGCUGGAAACUCCCACUCCACACGGAGGGAUUUUAUGUGAUGUCAUGAAGGCAAAGAAGGCAAAACGCGCACAUCCACUGACACAGCUGUAAAAAAAUUCCCACGCAAGCAAGACCACCGUCCUCCUGACAAUCCUGGACAUCUGUAGUGAAACAUGUCUGGAAUCGGCUUUCUGAAGAUCUACUUCAUUGGAACCGCGUUUUCCUUUCUGGUGGCUCUUUUUGGACUGGUUGAUUCAGUCGGGGGUCUGAUGUAUCUUCAAGGACCCGACUGGGCAGACGACAGCUGGACGGAGAAGCACCCGACCGUGUCUCCAUCACAGACUGCUGCUGCCAGCAACAGCAAGCGCGACGGAUCGACAUGAUCUUCUGCACUGCCGUCGGGGGCGAGUCUUUACUGGGGCUAGGAGAAACAAUAGCCUCGGUGUAUUAUGGUUACUGACCUACUAAAGCCUACUGUGGAAUUCUCUCCUUUUCACUACUGAGAUCUGUGUUUUAUGUGAAAUAUGAGACAUGAACAUCAAUAAUGGCUAGUCGUUCCACAGCCAUGUGAGGUGCCAACUCUUCACACUCGUUACGUUUUUUGCUUUGUUGUUAUGGUUUCUGCAAAGAACUUGUCUGACUUUAUACGAUAAAGAGAAAAAAUUCUUCAGGAGAGAUUGAAAGUGUAAAAAUAGCCUACUACAAACAUGCUACAUGAAUUUGCUGGACUGCCUUAAAAGAUUGAAAUCCCUCUGUCAGUGGUCCAAUUGUUUUUGUAAUGUUUGUUCCUUUUUAUAUGCCGUUUAUAUGAAGAUAACAGUACAACUCAGUAUGUUAACAUUUGUGUAACAUGCUGUGUUUAUCAUGAGAAACUGUGGCAUUAGGCAACAAAACUUGCACUUUGUUUUUUUUUGUUUUUUUUAGUUUUUGUUUUUUUUACCUUUUAGGUAAAGGGUGUCUAAAAAAUAUCUGCUAGAUAUCUUUCAACUAGAUAAGUUAGGUUAUGUUACUGAAAUUCACUUAUGUAUUGAACUGAAUAAAAAUAUAUACAGUUGCACUGUA